rnacentral:rRNA from 1 species
AUUGAACGCUGGCGGAAUGCUUUACACAUGCAAGUCGAACGGCAGCACGGGGGCAACCCUGGUGGCGAGUGGCGAACGGGUGAGUAAUACAUCGGAACGUGCCCAGUCGUGGGGGAUAACGUAGCGAAAGCUACGCUAAUACCGCAUACGAUCUACGGAUGAAAGCGGGGGAUCGCAAGACCUCGCGCGAUUGGAGCGGCCGAUGGCAGAUUAGGUAGUCGGUGAGGUAAAGGCUCACCAAGCCGACGAUCUGUAGCUGGUCUGAGAGGACGACCAGCCACACUGGGACUGAGACACGGCCCAGACUCCUACGGGAGGCAGCAGUGGGGAAUUUUGGACAAUGGGCGCAAGCCUGAUCCAGCCAUUCCGCGUGCAGGAUGAAGGCCCUCGGGUUGUAAACUGCUUUUGUACGGAACGAAACGGCUCUCUCUAAUACAGGGGGCUAAUGACGGUACCGUAAGAAUAAGCACCGGCUAACUACGUGCCAGCCGCCGCCGUAACAC